rnacentral:rRNA from 1 species
AUUGAACGCUGGCGGCGUGCCUAAUACAUGCAAGUCGAGCGGACCAAAGAGAGCUUGCUCUCUGAGGUUAGCGGCGGACGGGUGAGUAACACGUGGGUAACCUGCCUGUAAGACGGGGAUAACUUCGGGAAACCGAAGCUAAUACCGGAUGAUAAAGAGAAACGCCUGUUUCUUUUUUGAAAGUCGGCCUUGUGCUGACGCUUACAGAUGGGCCCGCGGCGCGUUAGCUAGUUGGUGAGGUAACGGCUCACCAAGGCGACGAUGCGUAGCCGACCUGAGAGGGUGAUCGGCCACACUGGGACUGAGACACGGCCCAGACUCCUACGGGAGGCAGCAGUAGGGAAUCUUCGGCAAUGGACGAAAGUCUGACCGAGCAACGCCGCGUGAGCGAUGAAGGCCUUCGGGUCGUAAAGCUCUGUUGUCAGAGAAGAACAAGUACCGGAGUAACUGCCGGUACCUUGACGGUACCUGACCAGAAAGCCACGGCUAACUACGUGCCAGCCGCCGCAGUAAUAC